CACAAUUUCCGUAACGCUCUCGUCACGCAUUCGCCAGUUUACUCCCCAAGUCAAGCGUGCGUAAAGACGUUUUACUUCAACAAUAACUUCAGUUCAACGUUUAAA